rnacentral:lncRNA from 1 species
GUCCGAAGUGGCUUCACCACUUUGGACAAAGAAAGCUAUUGAGCAAAAGGCGAGAUAUCUAAAGUAGAGAUAUCUGAAGUCAAAAUGUCUAAGGUUGAAAUAUCUUAAGUCGAAAUAUCUGAAGUUGAACCUUGGCUGUAAAUUUUGCAAAGCCAAUAUCAUCGUUUUUGAUCUCUACUCGACUUGUCCAUGGGAGAGG